AGUGAACGCUGGCGGUAGGCCUAACACAUGCAAGUCGAACGGCAGCACAGUAAGAGCUCGCUCUUACGGGUGGCGAGUGGCGGACGGGUGAGGAAUACAUCGGAAUCUACUUUUUCGUGGGGGAUAACGUAGGGAAACUUACGCUAAUACCGCAUACGACCUACGGGUGAAAGCAGGGGAUCUUCGGACCUUGCGCGAUUGAAUGAGCCGAUGUCGGAUUAGCUAGUUGGCGGGGUAAAGGCCCACCAAGGCGACGAUCCGUAGCUGGUCUGAGAGGAUGAGCCCCCACCCUGGAAAUGGAACACGGGCCAACACCCUACGGGAGGCCGCAGUGGGGAAUUUUGGACAAGGGGGGCAAGCCUGAUCCAGCCAUACCGGGGGGGGAAAGAAGGCCUUCGGUUUGUAAAGCCCUUUUUUUGGGAAAAAAAAGCAGCAGGUUAAUACCCCGCUGUUCUGACGGUACCAAAAGAAAAAGCACCGGCUAACUUCGU
rnacentral:rRNA from 1 species